rnacentral:sRNA from 1 species
GAGGAUUACGGGUUGGCCGGCGGUCCGCCGA